rnacentral:rRNA from 1 species
CCGGUAAACGGCGGCCGUAACUAUAACGGUCCUAAGGUAGCGAAAUUCCUUGUCGGGUAAGUUCCGACCUGCACGAAUGGCGUAAUGAUGGCCAGGCUGUCUCCACCCGAGACUCAGUGAAAUUGAACUCGCUGUGAAGAUGCAGUGUACCCGCGGCAAGACGGAAAGACCCCGUGAACCUUUACUAUAGCUUGACACUGAACAUUGAGCCUUGAUGUGUAGGAUAGGUGGGAGGCUUUGAAGUGUGGACGCCAGUCUGCAUGGAGCCGACCUUGAAAUACCACCCUUUAAUGUUUGAUGUUCUAACGUGGACCCGUGAUCCGGGUUGCGGACAGUGUCUGGUGGGUAGUUUGACUGGGGCGGUCUCCUCCUAAAGAGUAACGGAGGAGCACGAAGGUUGGCUAAUCCUGGUCGGACAUCAGGAGGUUAGUGCAAUGGCAUAAGCCAGCUUGACUGCGAGCGUGACGGCGCGAGCAGGUGCGAAAGCAGGUCAUAGUGAUCCGGUGGUUCUGAAUGGAAGGGCCAUCGCUCAACGGAUAAAAGGUACUCCGGGGAUAACAGGCUGAUACCGCCCAAGAGUUCAUAUCGACGGCGGUGUUUGGCACCUCGAUGUCGGCUCAUCACAUCCUGGGGCUGAAGUAGGUCCCAAGGGUAUGGCUGUUCGCCAUUUAAAGUGGUACGCGAGCUGGGUUUAGAACGUCGUGAGACAGUUCGGUCCCUAUCUGCCGUGGGCGCUGGAGAACUGAGGGGGGCUGCUCCUAGUACGAGAGGACCGGAGUGGACGCAUCACUGGUGUUCGGGUUGUCAUGCCAAUGGCACUGCCCGGUAGCUAAAUGCGGAAGAGAUAAGUGCUGAAAGCAUCUAAGCACGAAACUUGCCCCGA